GAAAUGCGAUAAGUAGUGUGAAUUGCAGAAUUCAGUGAAUCAUCGAAUCUUUGAACGCACAUUGCGCCCCUUGGUAUUCCAUGGGGCAUGCCUGUUCGAGCGUCAUUUGUACCUUCAAGCUCUGCUUGGUGUUGGGUGUUUGUCCCGCCUUUGCGCGUGGACUCGCCUUAAAGCAAUUGGCAGCCGGCGUAUAGAUUUCGGAGCGCAGCACAAAACGCGCUUUGUUAGCAAUACGGUGGCGUCCAGUAAGACUUUUUUUAACUCUUGACCUCGGAUCAGGUAGGGAUACCCGCUGAACUUAA
rnacentral:misc_RNA from 1 species